GCUGGCGGCGUGCUUAACACAUGCAAGUCGAACGAUGAUCCCAGCUUGCUGGGGGAUUAGUGGCGAACGGGUGAGUAACACGUGAGUAACCUGCCCUUGACUCUGGGAUAAGCCUGGGAAACCGGGUCUAAUACUGGAUAUGACCUUCUGGCGCAUGCCAUGUUGGUGGAAAGCUUUAUUGCGGUUUUGGAUGGACUCGCGGCCUAUCAGCUUGUUGGUGGGGUAAUGGCCUACCAAGGCGACGACGGGUAGCCGGCCUGAGAGGGUGGACGGCCACACUGGGACUGAGACACGGCCCAGACUCCUACGGGAGGCAGCAGUGGGGAAUAUUGCACAAUGGGCGCAAGCCUGAUGCAGCGACGCCGCGUGGGGGAUGAAGGCCUUCGGGUUGUAAACCUCUUUCAGUAGGGAAGAAGCGAAAGUGACGGUACCUGCAGAAGAAGCGCCGGCUAACUACGUGCCAGCAGCCGCGGUAAUACGUAGGGCGCAAGCGUUAUCCGGAAUUAUUGGGCGUAAAGAGCUCGUAGGCGGUUUGUCGCGUCUGCCGUGAAAGUCCGGGGCUUAACUCCGGAUCUGCGGUGGGUACGGGCAGACUAGAGUGAUGUAGGGGAGACUGGAAUUCCUGGUGUAGCGGUGAAAUGCGCAGAUAUCAGGAGGAACACCGAUGGCGAAGGCAGGUCUCUGGGCAUUAACUGACGCUGAGGAGCGAAAGCAUGGGGAGCGAACAGGAUUAGAUACCCUGGUAGUCCAUGCCGUAAACGUUGGGCACUAGGUGUGGGGGACAUUCCC
rnacentral:rRNA from 1 species